AGUGAACGCUGGCGGUAGGCCUAACGCAUGCAAGUCGAACGGCAGCACAGUAAGAGCUUGCUCUUACGGGUGGCGAGUGGCGGACGGGUGAGGAAUACAUCGGAAUCUACUUUUUCGUGGGGGAUAACGUAGGGAAACUUACGCUAAUACCGCAUACGACCUACGGGUGAAAGCAGGGGAUCUUCGGACCUUGCGCGAUUGAAUGAGCCGAUGUCGGAUUAGCUAGUUGGCGGGGUAAAGGCCCACCAAGGCGACGAUCCGUAGCUGGUCUGAGAGGAUGAUCAGCCACACUGGAACUGGGACACGGUCCAGACUCCUACGGGAGGCAGCAGUGGGGAAUAUUGGACAAUGGGCGCAAGCCUGAUCCAGCCAUACCGCGUGGGUGAAGAAGGCCUUCGGGUUGUAAAGCCCUUUUGUUGGGAAAGAAAAGCAGCAGGUUAAUACCCCGCUGUUCUGACGGUACCCAAAGAAUAAGCACCGGCUAACUUCGU
rnacentral:rRNA from 1 species